UGAGUUUUCAUGUGAUCUGGUUGUUUAAC
rnacentral:piRNA from 1 species